rnacentral:rRNA from 1 species
GACGAACGCUGGCGGCGUGCCUAAUACAUGCAAGUAGAACGCAGUUGCGCACGGGUGAGUAGCGCGUAGGUAACUGCCUCAUAGCGGGGGAUAACUAUUGGAAACGAUAGCUACUCCCGCAUACUGUGAGCUGGACCUGCGUUGUAUUAGCUAGUGGGUGAGGUAACGGCUCACCCAGGCGACGAUACAUAGCCGACGUGAGAGGGUGAACGGCCGCACGUGGACGGAGAAACGGCCCAGACGCCGACGGGAGGAAGCAGUAGGGAAUCUGCGGCAAUGGACGGAAGUCUGACCGAGCAACGCAGCGUGAGUGAAGAAGGUUUGCGGAUCGUAAAGCGCUGUUGUUAGAGAAGCGGUAACGAACCAGAAAGGGACGGCUAACUACGGGCCAGCAGCCGCGGUAAUUC